GUGACAGUUCAUGUAAGUGCGGAAGUGAGGUUAUGAUAUCAAAAGAAUUCAUGGCAUUGAGCGGCAAAAUUCUUCAAAUAUCUUCUUAUACGAUUUCAGCUGUGUGGAAAGGUUUCAGUACAAUGGCUUCUAAUACUAAGAACGCACGUUUGUCCAAAGUUAUUGGAACCCAUAGUGGAGUUUUUCAUUGUGAUGAAGCCCUAGCAUGCUUCAUGCUCAAGCAGCUGCCCGAAUACUCUGAUGCCAAGAUUAUAAGGUCUCGCGAUCUCAAUAUUUUAGAGAAAUGUGAUAUAGUAGUUGAUGUAGGUGGAGAAUAUAAUCCGAAAACCCAUCAGUAUGAUCAUCACCAAAGGAGUUUCACACAUACAAUUAGCACUGUUAGACCUGAUCUGAUCAAGAAUAAAUUUGUCAAAUUGAGCUCGGCUGGUUUGAUUUAUGCCCAUUUUGGCUUGGAAGUCUUAGCGAAUCUACUAGGAACACAUAAAAUAGCUGCAACUAGUGAAUGUUUGAGGUGUCUCUAUGUUUUCAUUUACGAGGGAUUUGUUGAAGAAAUAGAUGCAAUCGAUAAUGGUGUACCGAUGUAUUCUGAGGGUAAAGCAAGUUAUAAAAUAAGUACGCACCUAAGUGCACGAGUUGGUAGACUAAACCCAAAAUGGAAUGAACCUCAAGAUGAAUCAACUGACGAGAUUUUCUUUCAAGCAGUAGAUUUGGUUGGGAAAGAGUUCACAGAAAGAGUUUUAGAGGCUGCCACAGUUUGGUGGCCUGGCAGAGAAAUUGUUAGGAAAGCCAUCGAAAAUAGACAUGAAAUCGAUCAAAGUGGUCAAAUAAUUUUAAUGGAAGAAAGAUGCCCUUGGAAGGACCAUUUGGCAGUACUAGAAGAAGAAAUGGGAAUAUCUGAAGAAAUAAAGUUUGUUAUUUUUCAUGACAGAGGAGGCUCAUGGAGGGUUCAAGCGGUUCCAAUUCAACCAGACAGUUUUGUAUGCAGGGUGUUUCUGCAUAAAGACUGGAGGGGCGUUAGAGACGAAGAAAUGAGUAAAGUGGCUGGAAUUGAAGGUUGCAUAUUUUGUCAUGCAACGGGAUUCAUUGGAGGAAACAAAACCAAACAAGGUGCUCUACAAAUGGCUCUCAAAAGUUUAUCAGCAUCUAUUUCAGAUAGGGAAUAGAUAAGUCAUUAGUACAUUUUUUCAUAUAACUGGAUUAAUUAGAAGAAACGAAAUCAGAACAAGAUGAUCCAGUCUGUAAAUGAUCGUCUUAAUUUCAAUUCAUUUCAGAUAGGGAGUAGGUUAGGUUGAAAAGUGAAUAAUGUAUUUCAGAGUUCUGUGUUUCUAGUAGCAUUUCAAAUAUCAUCAGAUUGAUGACGUCUAUUGGUUAUAAGGAGGUUAAAACAAACUGCUUCUUUUGCUGGGUUGAUUGAAGCUGUAUUUUAUUUUAAAAAGAAAUUAAAUAUGAAACGAAAGUAUCAUUACCUUACAAAUCUAAUUUCUAUAAUACUGUAAACUGUAAACACUAUUUAUUUCUAAAGUAUACACAUAUGUUCUAUAAUUUAAUUUAUUAUAAGAUACAAAUAUGAUUGAAACUUUGUUUUAAACUAAUCAUUUUAUGAAUUAUAUAAUUUAAAAAGAUCAGACUACAUUGUAAUAGAAAACUAUCAUAUCAUACUUUUUGAAGGACAUACAAUACAUAUAGAGCUCAAAUCAGAUUCAAGGAUUGAAGUUAUCAAAAAUAAUAUACAAGAUUCAGAUAUUGAUGCAUUGCAUUUUUUUGAAAUAUACAGACUUCAAAAAAAUUAAAUUAUUUGAAUUCUUUUGAAAAAUGUUAGAUUGUAUGUACCUAAUAUUUCAAAAGUAAUGUAAAAAUAAUAUCAAAAGGCUGAUCUAUCCAUUCGUCACCAUUUUCAAUGAAAGUAAAUUAGAAGAGUUUGUUUUGUUUUGAAGAUAUUUCGAAUAAUAAUUUCACCACAAUAAGAGUCAGAGUCAGAAAUGCUUUAUUGUUAUAAAAGUUUUGGUGUUGUUUAAGAACUAAAAUAGUCUGAAACAUUAAAAUAAAGGUCAAGAAUUAAAACAAUAUAUUAAUAUGGCUCAAGCACACUUCAAAAAGUCUAUGGAAAAAGUCUGUGAUAAUUUUUUUUUAUAAGUUUCAAUUAUAAGUUGCGAAGUCAUCUGAAAGAAAUUCCCCAAUACUAUAAUAAGCUUUAUCUGGCAGAAGUUUUUUUACUCUUUUUCAAAACUGUUUGUAGCAGGUUAACUUUCUGAUUGAUAAAUUUGAUAGACCUGCCAAACCAAUUUCGAGCAAUUUAAAUACUUAAAUAAAAAUAUGCAUACAAAAAAACCGUUAAUAGCCCUGUAAUUAUACACAGACGUCAGUUAUAUUAACACUUUAUGAGAAAACAUAAAAAACAUACAUUAGAUAACAAAAAAUUUAAUGUAACCCAGUAUCGUUAUUGAGCUGUGCUCCGUUCAAGAAAUUUAUAAACUUUUCACUUUUAAUAACUACAUCUUUCAGAGAACUUCUUUUGAAAAUCCAUCUAGGUUUAGUUCCUUUCACUUGUUUGCAUUCUGUUACUAGGUAGAUAGGUAGGUGCAGAGUGAGUGGGUCUCUUCGACCCUCCAUUAGGAGGGUCGAAGGAUUAAUUGUGGCUAACACCUAUUCAGAAUCAACAAAUAAAUUCAGCUUUUCAACGAA
rnacentral:misc_RNA from 1 species